GUUUUAUAAUACAUUUUUAUAGUACAGUAUUAUGCACUGAAAAUGUUAGUUAUACUAGUAACUCUUUCCCACUUUCACAGGUAAUCCAAAUGAUACAUUUGCAGCACCAGCAAUAACAUACAACUCUGAGUGCAGUACUGCAACAUUUGAAUGCAUUUUUGAAAAAUCUGGCACAGAUUCAUGUAACCUUCCUAUAAAUUGUGACCUAAGUGUCAGACCCAGUGACAUUGUGUAUGACCUACAUGAAUUUACAACAGAUUUAGUGGGAGACCUGCAGUUUUCUGACCCCUCAUCAUUUGAGACACAUUAUCCCAAAAUUUUUGAAUUGGGGCAUUCUUUGGCUGACAAGCCCCCUCAGCUUGUUGGAAAUGAAUCUGAUGUUCAGGAUGCUUCUCCUUUUGUACCCAGUGUUAGGCUAUUGCCUGAAAACAAUACAAUCAAUCAAUCAAUCAAUC